AUUUAACGUAAUAAUAAUCACCUUAAAUCAACACGAGGAUGUAAUGAAAUAAAAUGACUCGCUCCCAGUUCAACACCAUUUCUAAUGAACAUUACUUGAAGAGGACUGUACGAAGUAAAAAAGAACUAUUUGAUAAAGAAAAUUAUCUGUAAAGAAAGUGUACAAUCAUUAUUCAGCAAAACAUGUUUGGCUAAUUUAUGGUAAUUAUUUUGUACAUAUAACUAUGGAUAGUGCAAAGUUAAAAACACUACAUUUUGACUGGUAAGAAUAGUAUAUGUAUCGAUACACAAUAGCCUUUAUUCUAAGGUGUUGAAAUCAUUAUGAUUGUUUUCAUUUCUACUUCCGUAGCUAAAAAAUAGUUGAGAAAUUAUAGGUGUGCAUCAUAGGAAAGAAGACAGUCCACGAUACGUGAUAUAUAUUUAGACAAAUGGCCUUUUUAGAACCUCUUCCAUUGACAUGACUGACCUUUCUUGUUUGUAUAACAGAUACUGUGGAUUAAAUAUAGAAUCUUUCAAGAGUAAGAUUACACUAUUGUUAUCACAAUUUACCCCUCCCACAAAUAAAUCCUGUGAAAAAUAAGAAGUAAUUGGAAAUAAUUAAAAUGCAAUGAUGUAA